rnacentral:lncRNA from 1 species
UCACGGGUCAGAUGUACGACCACUUUUUCGGAAAAUAACACCCUCCUGCGGGGGAUCAACCCGCUGGUAUACGUGAAAUGCACUCGAGCUGUGGCGAUCAAUGCGGAUAUGAUCAAUAGCCAACCGUCGGCAACCAGCCGACAAUCACCGCCCCUCGGGGCUAACUGACCAAAAGGUCAUCCAACUGUAAGGAAGUACAAGAACCGUCCACUCAGGUCAGCUAGGAUGGAACAACUCAACAUCCUCUCAAAGAUAUGCAAAUACUGCUCAAUGGGUCAACUAAACUAUAAAUGCAAG